rnacentral:rRNA from 1 species
GACGAACGCUGGCGGCGUGCUUAACACAUGCAAGUCGAACGGAAAGGCCUGCUUUCCCCUGUGGAUUGCGGGUGCUCGAGUGGCGAACGGGUGAGUAACACGUGAGUGAUCUGCCCCCAACUUGGGUAUAAGCCCGGGAAACUGGGUCUAAUUCCCGAUAGGACUGCAGGGUGGUGCCUGUGGUGGAAAACGAUUUUCUAGUGGUUGGGGAUGAGCUCGCGGCCUAUCAGCUUGUUGGUGGGGUAAUGGCCUACCAAGGCGGCGACGGGUAGCCGGCCUGAGAGGGUGGACGGCCACAUUGGGACUGGGAUACGGCCCAGACUCCUACGGGAGGCAGCAGUGGGGAAUAGUGCACAAUGGGCGGAAGCCUGAUGCAGCGACGCCGCGUGGGGGAUGACGGCCUUCGGGUUGUAAACUCCUUUCGACCGCGGGGAAGCCACCUGGUUGGAAGGGUGGUGACGGUAGUGGUAGAAGAAGCACCGGCUAACUACGUG